UCAAAGAAACGUUUCCAGAUGCUGCAGUAUGUCUGACAUUACUUUCUUGGAUCAUUUAUCUCAGAGGUUCCCAGAGAGUGAAUCUACUUCCUUUGGACCCCAUCAGCUCUCCCCAUCUGGCUGCUGCUCAGGUUCUUCAGAGGGCACUGUCUUGUAUGGAGUGUCCCCUCCUCCCAGGACUGCUGGUGACCUCAUCCAUGCACCCAGGAGGAGCGUAUACUGUCAUGGAAGUCAGCAGGAUCACAGUAGUCACUGUGGCCAGGUAGGAAUCAGACUAAGAAGUGACAGACAGCAACUGCAUAGAACACUACCUCCCACUGGUGGCUUGCCAAAGUCAUAUGGCAGGUUAACACCAGAGUAGCCGGAAGUGGUCCCUGCCACAGAGUGGAUGAUCUUCACUAUGA
rnacentral:lncRNA from 1 species